UUUCCGUAGGUGAACCUGCGGAAGGAUCAUUAUCGAAUUCCGGCUGUGCGCCGAAAGGCCGCACGCCGUUUUCCACACACCUGUGCACCAUCGCGGGGUAACCCGCCGUAACACACACGUUUAUAGUCCAGAAUGUAACUUUUUAUAAAAAUACAACUUGCAGCAACGGAUCUCUUGGCUCACGCAUCGAUGAAGAACGCAGC
rnacentral:misc_RNA from 1 species